rnacentral:sRNA from 1 species
CCCACCCCACCCCCGCCACGGUCCUCGCCCCAUCCGCCGCUCUCGUGCGUGUGUGUGCGCGCGCACUAGGCGCCAGGCACGCGGAAAGGUCGUCAGCUCUACUUUGUUGCCAACGCAACAUCAGGUUUUGGCUCUGCCGCAGUGACAUCACUGCACAGCACUGCCACCACCACCUUGUUUUUGCUCGGUGGACCUCAAAGGUUGAAGCCCGCGACACUCUUCUGGCCGCAACAUAGUCUGCACCCAGGCUCACCGACCCAGACCACCCAGUGGUGUGCGACCCUGGCCUUUGAUAAAGUUGUUGUGGUGCUGCUUGGGCCAGAGUGCUAAAUCACCAAAGGUGCAACCCCUUGGUGCACAUAAAUGUGCAGCUCAAUGGCAAAUAUGGCCAACAUGGACGAAGGCCUGACAGACCACCAACUCUGAAUCUUCCCUUUGGGUGAUUGUGUGACACUGGGCGAUGGAUUUAUGCUCUGGAUCUCCUUUGUCCUUCUGUAAAAUGGAGUUGCUAUCAUGGCUAUCUUAUAGGACUGUGGUGAGGACACACACGACAGUGCAGUAAGCCCCAGGGGAAACAAUUGUGUUCUUCUUGCAACAAGGGAGCUGAGACCCAGCAUUGACACAAUUUAUCAAGAUAUGGAGAGGCCUGACUGUCAGAACAACCCAAUCUUUAAUCAAACAACGGCUUGUCCCGGCCUCCCUCCUCGGGCGGAAGCCUGCUCUCCUUCCUGUGACAGAAAGCCACUUCUCUUCCCAAUUGUCACUUUUCUCUUCUCAACCCAUUCGCUGGGCAGUGAGCUAUGGGGGUGACCACAUCUCCUAGACUAAUUUGGUCUGGGUAUGGCCAUGUGACAAAGUUGCUGCCAGGGUGACAAGAAGGAAGCUUCUUGGUUACUCCCUCACCAAAAGUGAGUGCCCUUCCUUCUGAUAGAGAUGGUGAGGGCUGGAGCCUGGGAGAGGCAGUAAAAGCUUCAUGCUGAGGACUGAGCACGUGAGCUUUUAGUCUUGAGGUAGUCGGGUGUGGUGGGGCACGCCUGGAAUCCCAGCUACAAGAGAAACUGAGAUCAGCCUAGGCAACAAAGUGACGAAUAGAUUCUAAAUGUUCAUGGUAGGUUGAAGGGGCUGUGGGAUAGCUCAGCAGGUAAAGGCAUUUGCGAACGACAGUCUUGCCAACUCCAGUUUGACACCUUGGACCUGUGUGAUAGAGGGAGCCAACCUCCACAACUUGACCUUUGACCUCCAUAGGGACACCACGUCAGACACGCACACAGACAGACAAAAUGAAAGGCUGGAUGGAAUACAGCUGAACAGACUGUCUCAACACACUUCCUGUUUUGCAUGCCUGUAAUUCCAGCACUUGAGAAAGAGAGGCAGGGGUAUCCGGAAUUCCAGUCUAGCCUCUGCUACAUUAAGACCCUGUUUCUCAAUGCUCCGUGGUUUGAACUCUGUCCCUGUAGCUAAGCGUACACGUCACCACUAAUGAUGACCACAGGCAUUCUGAAAGUAUCUUCCCAGCCAGACUGAGCCUCUCCACCAGUGGCCUCUCCAGAGCCCGGGCAGUUACCUAGGACCUGCCUAGCUCUGCGGUGCUACAGCUGUCUGUACAGAUGUCUUAGCUGUCACUGUAACUUGAAGCAGGACAGGGACCAAACCUUACCCGCGGAGUCUUAUUACCGAGCUGUACACAGUACAUUCAGUAAGUGAGCCGAGUUAAUGGAUGGUUCCUCGUUGUCUGUACAUGCUAAGUUAUAAUAAACCGAGGUGGUUAAGUAACUACUCAAAGGUGGCCAGACAAGAGGGCUGGGGAGGCGGCUUAGACAGGAAGCUCUCACCUGGCUUGAGAGAUAAGAGAUCACCUGGAGGCUAGAGGGUAAGGGUUACUGGUGGGUUACUGGAGCUUUCCUCUGUUUGAAAUACACUUGCAUCAGCAGCCCCCAGGGAAACCUGGUCAGUAUGCAUGCGGCACUGUGGAACCCUGGAGAAGCCAAAACAAACAAACAAACAAACAAACAAAAGCUGGGUAAGAAACUCAACCCAGGAACCACAAAGAUCUGCAGUCAAGAACGUUGGAUGGAAAUUAAACAUUAACUGACAGUUUGUGAUUAUCAGUCCAAAAAUAGGCAAAAGGAAAUAACAGAAGCAUUAUCUUAGUUAAAGAUUACAUUAGAAAAAGAAUUAAGGGUUUUAUUUGACUGGAAGCCCAUCACGAGUCUAGAAUAAGACGCAAGGGUUCAAAGGUCCCAACUCAAUUCUGAGCCGGACAAAUCUAUCCGCAAGCUAUUUCCAGGGUACCUGGUUAGUGCUGGGAGAGGAAGAUCAAAGGCAGCGCCCACAGCUUCCUAAGCUGUACCCAAGGCACAAAGCACAGAGCAUUUGGUGCUGUAAGAGCUAAAUCAUGCUGGGUGGUUGUGACACAUGCCUUUAAUCCUGGCAUGGGGGGUGGGAGUGGGGGAGGCAGA